UACGUAGGAAGCAAGCGUUGUCCGGAAUCAUUGGGCGUAAAGAGCUCGUAGGCGGCUCAGUAAGUCGGGUGUGAAACCUCCAGGCUCAACCUGGAGACGCCACCCGAUACUGCUGUGGCUAGAGUCCAGUAGGGGAGUGUGGAAUUCCCGGUGUAGCGGUGAAAUGCGCAGAUAUCGGGAGGAACACCAGCGGCGAAGGCGGCACUCUGGGCUGGUACUGACGCUGAGGAGCGAAAGCGUGGGUAGCAAACAGG
rnacentral:rRNA from 1 species